rnacentral:rRNA from 1 species
CAUGAAGCUGGAAUUGCUAGUAAUGGCAGGUCAGCAUACUGCCGUGAAUACGUUCCCGGGCCUUGUACACACCGCCCGUCACACCAUGAGAGUUGGGAAUACCCGAAGCCUGUGAGCUAACUUAUAGAGGCAGCAGUCGAAGGUAGAAUCAAUGAUUGGGUGAAGUCGUAACAAGGUAGC